GUGCUCACUUCAGCAGCACAUAUACUAAAAUUGGAAUGAUAUAGAGAAGAUUAGCAUGGCCCCUGUGCAAGGAUGACACGCAAAUUCAUGAAGCGUUCCACAUUUUU
rnacentral:snRNA from 1 species